rnacentral:rRNA from 1 species
UUAAGCGACUAAGCGUACACGGUGGAUGCCCUGGCAGUCAGAGGCGAUGAAGGACGUGCUAAUCUGCGAUAAGCGUCGGUAAGGUGAUAUGAACCGUUAUAACCGGCGAUUUCCGAAUGGGGAAACCCAGUGUGUUUCGACACACUAUCAUUAACUGAAUCCAUAGGUUAAUGAGGCGAACCGGGGGAACUGAAACAUCUAAGUACCCCGAGGAAAAGAAAUCAACCGAGAUUCCCCCAGUAGCGGCGAGCGAACGGGGAGCAGCCCAGAGCCUGAAUCAGUGUGUGUGUUAGUGGAAGCGUCUGGAAAGGCGCGCGAUACAGGGUGACAGCCCCGUACACAAAAAUGCACAUGCUGUGAGCUCGAUGAGUAGGGCGGGACACGUGGUAUCCUGUCUGAAUAUGGGGGGACCAUCCUCCAAGGCUAAAUACUCCUGACUGACCGAUAGUGAACCAGUACCGUGAGGGAAAGGCGAAAAGAACCCCGGCGAGGGGAGUGAAAAAGAACCUGAAACCGUGUACGUACAAGCAGUGGGAGCACGCUUAGGCGUGUGACUGCGUACCUUUUGUAUAAUGGGUCAGCGACUUAUAUUCUGUAGCAAGGUUAACCGAAUAGGGGAGCCGAAGGGAAACCGAGUCUUAACUGGGCGUUAAGUUGCAGGGUAUAGACCCGAAACCCGGUGAUCUAGCCAUGGGCAGGUUGAAGGUUGGGUAACACUAACUGGAGGACCGAACCGACUAAUGUUGAAAAAUUAGCGGAUGACUUGUGGCUGGGGGUGAAAGGCCAAUCAAACCGGGAGAUAGCUGGUUCUCCCCGAAAGCUAUUUAGGUAGCGCCUCGUGAAUUCAUCUCCGGGGGUAGAGCACUGUUUCGGCAAGGGGGUCAUCCCGACUUACCAACCCGAUGCAAACUGCGAAUACCGGAGAAUGUUAUCACGGGAGACACACGGCGGGUGCUAACGUCCGUCGUGAAGAGGGAAACAACCCAGACCGCCAGCUAAGGUCCCAAAGUCAUGGUUAAGUGGGAAACGAUGUGGGAAGGCCCAGACAGCCAGGAUGUUGGCUUAGAAGCAGCCAUCAUUUAAAGAAAGCGUAAUAGCUCACUGGUCGAGUCGGCCUGCGCGGAAGAUGUAACGGGGCUAAACCAUGCACCGAAGCUGCGGCAGCGACGCUUAUGCGUUGUUGGGUAGGGGAGCGUUCUGUAAGCCUGCGAAGGUGUGCUGUGAGGCAUGCUGGAGGUAUCAGAAGUGCGAAUGCUGACAUAAGUAACGAUAAAGCGGGUGAAAAGCCCGCUCGCCGGAAGACCAAGGGUUCCUGUCCAACGUUAAUCGGGGCAGGGUGAGUCGACCCCUAAGGCGAGGCCGAAAGGCGUAGUCGAUGGGAAACAGGUUAAUAUUCCUGUACUUGGUGUUACUGCGAAGGGGGGACGGAGAAGGCUAUGUUGGCCGGGCGACGGUUGUCCCGGUUUAAGCGUGUAGGCUGGUUUUCCAGGCAAAUCCGGAAAAUCAAGGCUGAGGCGUGAUGACGAGGCACUACGGUGCUGAAGCAACAAAUGCCCUGCUUCCAGGAAAAGCCUCUAAGCAUCAGGUAACAUCAAAUCGUACCCCAAACCGACACAGGUGGUCAGGUAGAGAAUACCAAGGCGCUUGAGAGAACUCGGGUGAAGGAACUAGGCAAAAUGGUGCCGUAACUUCGGGAGAAGGCACGCUGAUAUGUAGGUGAGGUCCCUCGCGGAUGGAGCUGAAAUCAGUCGAAGAUACCAGCUGGCUGCAACUGUUUAUUAAAAACACAGCACUGUGCAAACACGAAAGUGGACGUAUACGGUGUGACGCCUGCCCGGUGCCGGAAGGUUAAUUGAUGGGGUUAGCGGUAACGCGAAGCUCUUGAUCGAAGCCCCGGUAAACGGCGGCCGUAACUAUAACGGUCCUAAGGUAGCGAAAUUCCUUGUCGGGUAAGUUCCGACCUGCACGAAUGGCGUAAUGAUGGCCAGGCUGUCUCCACCCGAGACUCAGUGAAAUUGAACUCGCUGUGAAGAUGCAGUGUACCCGCGGCAAGACGGAAAGACCCCGUGAACCUUUACUAUAGCUUGACACUGAACAUUGAGCCUUGAUGUGUAGGAUAGGUGGGAGGCUUUGAAGUGUGGACGCCAGUCUGCAUGGAGCCGACCUUGAAAUACCACCCUUUAAUGUUUGAUGUUCUAACGUUGACCCGUAAUCCGGGUUGCGGACAGUGUCUGGUGGGUAGUUUGACUGGGGCGGUCUCCUCCUAAAGAGUAACGGAGGAGCACGAAGGUUGGCUAAUCCUGGUCGGACAUCAGGAGGUUAGUGCAAUGGCAUAAGCCAGCUUGACUGCGAGCGUGACGGCGCGAGCAGGUGCGAAAGCAGGUCAUAGUGAUCCGGUGGUUCUGAAUGGAAGGGCCAUCGCUCAACGGAUAAAAGGUACUCCGGGGAUAACAGGCUGAUACCGCCCAAGAGUUCAUAUCGACGGCGGUGUUUGGCACCUCGAUGUCGGCUCAUCACAUCCUGGGGCUGAAGUAGGUCCCAAGGGUAUGGCUGUUCGCCAUUUAAAGUGGUACGCGAGCUGGGUUUAGAACGUCGUGAGACAGUUCGGUCCCUAUCUGCCGUGGGCGCUGGAGAACUGAGGGGGGCUGCUCCUAGUACGAGAGGACCGGAGUGGACGCAUCACUGGUGUUCGGGUUGUCAUGCCAAUGGCACUGCCCGGUAGCUAAAUGCGGAAGAGAUAAGUGCUGAAAGCAUCUAAGCACGAAACUUGCCCCGAGAUGAGUUCUCCCUGACCCUUUAAGGGUCCUGAAGGAACGUUGAAGACGACGACGUUGAUAGGCCGGGUGUGUAAGCGCAGCGAUGCGUUGAGCUAACCGGUACUAAUGAACCGUGAGGCUUAACCUU